AAUGGAUAAGGUUUUUCUACUAACAUAUAGGAAUUUUUGAAGGAAGGAAAGCCAGAAAUACCCAAUAUCUUGUUCUAACAGGAUAUUGGGUAUUUCUUUGUUUAUUCUGAAUCUUUCUAUUCUGAAUUCAGUUAACGACGAGAUUUAGUAUCCUUUCUUGCACUUUCAUAACUCGUGAAAUGCCGAGUAGGCCGAAUUCCCCCAAUUUGCGACCUACCAUAGGAUUUGUUAUGUAAAUAGGUAUAUGUUCCUUUCCAUUAUGAAUCGCGAUUGUAUGGCCAACCAUUGCGGGUAGAAUGCUAGAUGCCCGGGACCACGUUACUAUUAUUUCUUUCUCCUCCUUCAUAUUGACCUUUUCGAUUUUUGCCAAUAAAUGACGAGCUACAAAAGGAUUCGUUUUUUUUCGUGUCAMAGCUGAUUACYMCCUUUUUUUCAAUUUMAAGAGUSGCAUCCKAUGUCCACUAUCUSKGUCGAG
rnacentral:misc_RNA from 1 species